ensembl:lncRNA
GGGCAAGGCAGAAGGCUGAAGAUUAAAUUGAAUCGUCUGGUUUGUUUUAUAAAGGAGGGGUGGAUCUCUCUCUCUCUCUCUCUCUCUCUCUCUCUCUCAUCCUCUUGUGUCUUCAUUUUUCCACUUACUCUAAAACAAGGCCUUUUUGUCCGAGACCUCAUCAAACUCACAUGGUUCGGAAGAGAGAGGACGCAGAGGUGGGACAGAACGAUCGCAGGGAGGAUAAAGUGCACAAAGGAGAGCUUCAGACACUCAGGAGAAUGACUUCUUUUGGGUCAGCAGAGCUUUCGGCUGCCUUCUGUUUAUUCUUUCAGCUCCUGAGCGAAGGACAGAGGAACACGGCGUUCCAAUGAAUAAAAAAAAUAAACAAACAAGAACAACAGAGGAACAAGAUUCCAGGACCUGGGAAACCGGAACGGGAUUCUAGAAACUGGAAAACUAGGACAAGUUUGUAGAAGCGGGUUGGAAAAAAUCAUCGGAAAACGCUUUGUAGACUCGGAUAGAGAGCGGAACAAGCUCCUAGAAGCCGGAGAACUGGAACGAGCUUCUAGAAGCCGGAGAACUGGAACGAGGUUCUAGAAGCCGGAGAAUUGGAACGAGGUUCUAGAAGUGGAACGAGUAGAGCGGAACGAGGUUCUAGAAGCCGGAGAACUGGAACGAGCUUCUAGAAGCAGGAGAACUGGAACGAGGUUCCAGAAGUGGAAAGAGAGGAGAAAAGGUUUCCAGAAGCAGUAAGACGGGAACCAAAUUCUAGAGACCAAAAAGACUCUGGCUCUAGUUUCUAGAGCCAGAGAGAUAGUGGAAGAAGGUUCUAGAAUCUGAAAGAUGAUGAAGUAUGAUUCUCGAAGCGGAAAGAUUAGAAGAAAAUUCUAGAAACUAGAAGAUUGGAAAAAGACAGUGGAAGAAGAUUCUGGAAUCUGAAAAACUGGAGAUUUUUUUCAUCCACAAUUUUGGAAAAAAGUGGAAAGGCAGCCGAAGGAGGUUCUAAUAGCAGAAAGACAGUGGAACACAUUUUUGGAAAAUUUACACCUCCGGACCUCAAACCACAAGGCGGAAUAUAAGGACCCUAAAGGAACAUGGAGAACGGAAAAACGGAAGGUGAAGUUGAUGAGCCCGAGUCACCGAACCCAGUUUUCUAGCGAG